GGUGGUCCCUCCUUCCUGGUCCUCCCCACUCACUCUGCCAGCCCUCGUUCCCACCCCGAGUCUCUGCCCUCCGGCUCUCUGGCUGGUCACUGCUGCAGACGUUCAGAGACAGACUCGGAAAUGAAGAAAGCCAGCAAGAGACCGGCUGAGGCCUUGCCAGCAGACCAGCCGGCCAGGGAGGCAGAGAGGAUGAGCGGCCAGGAGGAAAGGGCUGAAAACCGGAUGGAAACAGGAGCAGAAACUGCUGGAGAAGCCAAGAUGUGAGGCCACUGGAGCGAGGGUUUCACUGGGAGAGAUGUUCCUGAUUUCCCUGUGUGGCUUUUAAUACCAAUCCAGCCCUUAACCAACAAUCUUGUAACAGCCAAACUGUUCUUUAUUAAACGUUUUUGUGAGGAAAAAAAAAAAAA